rnacentral:rRNA from 1 species
GACGAACGCUGGCGGCGUGCCUAAUACAUGCAAGUAGAACGCUGAAGGAGGAGCUUGCUUCUCUGGAUGUGUUGCGCACGGGUGAGUAACGCGUAGGUAACCUGCCUGGUAGCGGGGGAUAACUAUGGGAAACGAUAGCUAAUACGGCAUAAGAGUAGAUGUUGCAUGACAUUUGCUUAAAAGGUGCAAUUGCAUCACUACCAGAUGGACCUGCGUUGUAUUAGCUAGUUGGUGGGGUAACGGCUCACCAAGGCGACGUUGCAUAGCCGACCUGAGAGGGUGAUCGGGCACACUGGGACUGAGAGACAGCUCAGACUCCAACGGGGGGCAGCAGUAGGGAAUCUUCGGCAAUGGACGGAUGUCGGACCGAGCAACGCCGCGUGAGUGAAGAAGGUUUUCGGAGCGUAAAGCUCUGUUGUAAUGGAAGAACGAGUGUGAGAGUGGAAAGUUCACACUGUGACGGUAUCUUACCAGAAAGGGACGGCUAACUACGUG